rnacentral:rRNA from 1 species
UACGUAGGGUGCGAGCGUUGUCCGGAAUUAUUGGGCGUAAAGGGCUCGUAGGCGGUUUGUCGCGUCGGGAGUGAAAACACACAGCUUAACUGUGUGCUUGCUUCCGAUACGGGCAGACUAGAGGUAUGCAGGGGGAGAACGGAAUUCCUGGUGUAGCGGUGAAAUGCGCAGAUAUCAGGAGGAACACCGGUGGCGAAGGCGGUUCUCUGGGCAUUACCUGACGCUGAGGAGCGAAAGUGUGGGGAGGCGAACAGG